rnacentral:rRNA from 1 species
GUGAGGAAUAUUGGUCAAUGGACGGAAGUCUGAACCAGCCAUGCCGCGUGCAGGAAUAAGGUCCUAUGGAUUGUAAACUGCUUUUAUUCGGGAAUAAACCUCUUUACGUGUAGGGAGCUGAAGGUACCGAAGGAAUAAGCACCGGCUAACUCCGUGCCAGCAGCCGCGGUAAUACGGAGGGUGCAAGCGUUAUCCGGAAUCAUUGGGUUUAAAGGGUCCGCAGGCGGGCUAUCAAGUCAGAGGUGAAAUCACACAGCAUAACUGUGGAACUGCCUUUGAAACUGAUGGUCUUGAAUUACGUGGGCGUUGGCGGAAUAUGACAUGUAGCGGUGAAAUGCAUAGAUAUGUCAUUGAACACCGAAAGCGAAGGCAGCUAACGAUACUUAUAUUGACGCUCAUGGACGAAAGCGUGGGUAGCGAACAGGAUUAGAAACCCCGGUAGUCC